GGUGUUUCUCACUUGACAGAUAUAUGUAAAGAUCGAAUAGGAAGAAAUAUCAAGCACUUUCUGUCUCGGGUUUAGUGGACUAGGUGAUUGCGCCAAUUGACAUUCUUAAGAAAAUAAAUGAGAUAACCUUACACCAAAUCCCUAGGCUUCAAUCCAUGGCAGGUUCAUCGUGUUGGAGAGAUUCAUUCGUCUUGGUCGUGGAGCAUGUUUUUGUUCAUUUGCCGUUCACUAAGAAAUAAGUAGUCACUCCAACAGGAGCUGUGUAUACCGGAUUUGAUUUUUGCAAGAAACUUUGUGGGUUUCUCAAUGAUUCGAAGGAUUCCCUGCUUAAAGUUUUUGAAGUAUAUGUUUCACAGAAGAAAUCAACUUUCUUUUUCAGUGACAAUGUGAAAGUGGAAUGCUUCUCCGUCACCUAUUUCUUCUCUGAAAAACACAUCCCCUAGCUCUGCCUUCACGCAAACUUUGUCGUCUCCCGCCGUCCACAAUGCUUUCUUUCUCCUCAGUUUCUCUCAUUUUGAAGUUCAUAUGAUCACCUAGGUUAAGAUAGCUACAUUUCACUGUUUAGGAUAAGGUUGGAUGAUCUUUCUGAAGAUACUAAUGUCUAUCAUCGGAUCUAAAACUCAAAGAAACUUAACAUCUUUCUUGAUGCUCUUAACAGGGAAUCCUCUUUUCCCCGGGAAAAAUAUAGUCCAUCAAUUGGAUAUGAUGAAUGAUCUGUUGGGAACUCCAUUUGUGAAACUAUUGGAAGGGUGAGGAACGAGAAAGCUGGAAGAUACUUGAGGAGCAUGAGGUUGAAGAAGUCUAUUCGUUUUUCACAUAAGCUUCCACAUGACGAUCCUCUCGAUCUUCGUAUUCUACAAAAGUUGUUGUCUUUUGAGCUCAAUGAACGGCCUACAUUUGAAGAGAAGAGAAAAACAAACGUACUACAGUGUUUCUAUUACCGGCACUACCCAACAAAAAACAUGCUCGAGUUGGUGGUCGGAAGAUGAAAGAUUUAGGUUUAUGAAGAAUAUGCUUUUUAAUGAAGAAUAUGUUUUCUGUUGCAACAUUUAGUUUACACCAAAAUAAACAAUAGCUUAUAAAAAUAACUAAAUACAUAAUUUUGUUUUUGGUAGUAGGCAAGUAGCUAGAAAGGAAGUCAGAGAAAUGGGACUAUGAGUUCAUGUCAAUAGGUUGUUGUGGUUAGAAGACCAUACUCAAUCGAAACUUUACAUGAUUUUGAAAUAAAUCAUUUCACUAAUUUUCUC